rnacentral:rRNA from 1 species
UACGGAGGGUGCAAGCGUUAUCCGGAUUCACUGGGUUUAAAGGGUGCGUAGGUGGGCAGGUAAGUCAGUGGUGAAAUCUCCGGGCUUAACCCGGAAACUGCCAUUGAUACUAUCUGUCUUGAAUACCGUGGAGGUGAGCGGAAUAUGUCAUGUAGCGGUGAAAUGCUUAGAUAUGACAUAGAACACCAAUUGCGAAGGCAGCUCACUACGCGAAUAUUGACACUGGGGCACGAAAGCGUGGGGAUCGAAACAGG